GAGCCUUGGAGGAGCUGUGGUGAAGAAGCAGGAACCAUGCUGCUGUGAAGAGCUGCUUGUGAGAAAACCACCCAAAGAAGAUGUUAGGGACAGGCAAGUCCCCUGGCGCUGUGGCACCAAGAGGAAGAAGAUGCUCCAGCUGUGCGGAUGCUGCAGUAAAACGAGGGAAACUGAGGCACAGGGCUAAUCGCUGUGGAUGCCUGAGGGAUGCAGGCACUCCAGACCAUGGGAGCAGAGGGAGAAGGGAGAAUCCAGCCUGCACCAGCCCUGCCAGGGGGAUCACGGUGGGAUUUUGAGCCCUGCUCCAUGGGGCUUGUGAUGGGUCUCGGUGGAUGUGGAAGUGAAGGAGGUGCUGAAGGCAUUACCCAGAUGAUGCAACACCACAGCGGGGGCUCCCCAGUGUCACCUCACUGAGCAGGCACCCGAAUAUGCUGGGAGAGGGUUUGGGUUGUACAGAAUGGAUGGAGGGAUGUGCAUCCUGCUGCAGUGGACAGCCCAGGCUUUCAUUGAUCCUGGCAUGAGCCCACGGCCAAGCCGGGCAGCGUGGCCACGGGAGAGAUGGGCUCUGGCAGGAUCUGACUCGAAUAUUUGCAACCACAGCCAGGCUGGAGCCAUCCCUCGCAUCCCGGGGCUGCCCGGGCUUGUGGGGCUGGGUUGGCGGUGGCUCGGUGCCCUUGUGAAAUUCCCCGCUCCCUCAGCCUCCACACAGGGAGAGCAAAAUGGGGGGGAAAUGUGCUUUUCCCCGGAAAACGCACACCUUGUGCAAACAAGCCCAACAUCCGUGCAUGGGGAGCCCAGGACUUCCCGCAAGCAUCCGGGGAAUGCAGGUGAGGAUGGAUAAACUCGUUCCCCCCGUGAACUGACAGUGAGGGCACCAAUCCCAGCUCCGGUGCUGCCCCUGGCUUUGGGAAGGCUGAGGUUCUCCUCCCUCCCAGCGUGGCAGUGUCCUUGCAGGUCCCCAAGGUGAACAGCCGGCUGUCUCGCUGUGGGGACACUGUAAAUAGUGGUGGGAGUGUUAAAAAACAGAAAAUAUAAUAGUGGCUCCUGGCUGCCUGCCAGCUCCAAGCACCUCCACUGAGCCACAAGCCCAGCCCUAGAGCACCUGGAAUUAUUGGGAAAUCCCCAAAAAUGACAUUUGGAGUGCUGAUCAGGGAUAAGAGAGGCAAAUUUGGAGGGAAAUCCCCAAAAAUGACAUUUUGAGGGCUGAUCAGGGAUAAGAGAGGCAAAUUUGGAAGCAGUAGCUGGCUCUAAAAAUGAGAUUUCAAGCAAAGCGUUGUUUUUAAACCUCUUUUUAUUCAUACCAAAGGAUCAUUGGGAAAAAUGAGUGGGGAAAGGGACAAGCCUGGGUUCCUCUUGGGGUCUGGCUGAGUGAAUUGAUCCUUGGCAGAAAGGGCUGGCACGGUGGCUGGGUUUGAGUUUCCCUGGUUUCUGUUCCUCUGGCUGGAUGCUGCCAGUAACUGCAUUAGCUCCUGAGUGCAGGUGACCUUUGCCACUGCUGCUCCCAGGGGUAAUUCCACCUUCCCUCUGCUAUCCAGGCUUCCAGCUGCCAGCAGAACCCAGCGUGGCUGGAUGUGGGCAGGAUCCCCUGUGGUCAAGGCCAGGGAGGCACUUUGGAACUGGGACCGUGGUCUUUCAACGGCUGCAAAACCUCCUGGAGGUGAAAAGCAGCAUUUUUCAAAUGCUGAAUCUUUGUGAGGGCCUCGGGGCUGGGAUGUUCCCAUCACCAGACACUGGCUGUCCCCAUGGAGAGGUUCCUCAGAGCUCUCAGGUUGUUCCCCAGCACAGACAUGCAGGGAUCAGGCUGGGUCCCUUCUGCCUCGGGCUCCGCCGCGUCUCACCAGACCGGAGACGUCUUGCAUGAAGAAUUUCAUUACAUCUAAAAGCUGUUUAUAACGGAAAUGGAGUUCAUUUCUCAUGUCCUGACAACUCCAGCCUGCUAGGGUGGUGGAUCUGGUUGAGCUUGCUCGUGAGGAGGUCACAUUUGAUGACAACUUUGUCUUUUUAAACCAGCUCAGAGGAUGGUCACCCCAAACUCCUCCAUGGACAUCUGCUAUCCCAGCGCCUUUUGAAACCCUGGAUUUUUGGCAGAGAAGGUGUUUGUUGCAGAAAGUCUCAUCUCCUGAGGUCUACUCUGAUGGAGCCCUGCACCUUCUUGCUGCAACCAGAGCUCACCACAGCCAGAGCAGUGCACCCAGCUGGGGUGAAAUCAGGCACUUGGACAUCUGGUUUUUAACCCAGCCACGAGAGGAAAGGCUGGUUUCCCCCUCAGGAUGAGAGCAGGUGCAAACCACCCUUGGCUAAGCAGGAUCUCUGAGCACGACACACUUCGUGGUCUCCUCUCGCCCUGGCACACCUGGACGUGCCUCUCUGCUGGGUUCCAGAGCCUGGGCUGAGCUGCAUCCCAUCUCCUGCUGGGUGAGUGUCCAAAUGUCCCAGUCUCUGGGAUUUUAGAGGCUCCAUGUGGCCCAUGAGCCACCACAGCAAUGGCCUGGUUUGGCCAUUCCCAGACUGGGAACCUCCAAAGAGAGCACUUCUCUGUGUGUGUGUGUGUGCACAGGGCUUUCAGUCUGCAAACAACCAGUACAGCUCAAGGGCUUGGCUCCCACUCUGCUAGCUCCUGGAUGUGUUCCUCCACUGGCUCUUCUCCCUUUUUCCGUGUCCCAGCAGCCAUGCUCCUCCUCCUCUCUGUGCUCGUCCCUUGCCAGGCACUAACAUGGGAGAGGUCCCAGGUGUCAGAGGCAUCCCCAGGAGAUGGGGACCUGUGUGCUGGCUCCUCUGGGCAUCUUCCAUGUCCAGGGGGUUAUGCUCCUCCUCCUUUAUGUUCCCAUACAAGGACAAUGGGAUUUGUAUUCCCUUUAUGUUAUGGGGACUCUUUGUUGGCGUGCAGGGCCUGCACUGAGGCCUGCACCCACCCCGGGGAGAAAUCAACCAUGUCCUCAUUGCUUCUAGGACUGUCACCUAGGUCUUAGACUAUCACAGAGGUGCUGUGACUGCCACAUUGUCCCAGGACUGUCACGUAUUUGCUGUGAUUGUCACAUUGUCCUAGAUUGUCACAUCAUCACCCUAGGACCAGUGAGGAAGACGCAGCCACACCAGUAGGUGAUAUAAAACGUGUCAGUGGUAUAGUGGUGAAGGCAAACAGCCUGGCUUCUUCUCUUCCUCCUCCUCCUCCUGCUGGGGCAGUUAAUAUUGGUGGGGUUUAUGAAUUAACUUCCCUCUGAGCGAGUCUGCAGAGCCGGAAUGGGGACAUUAAACAAAAAGCAAGUGGCUUGUGACUCACGCCAUGGCCCCGUGCCAAGGCAAGCACAAAGCAGAGGCCUCGGCAGAGCCUUGGGAAUUGUUCCCUGCUCCAGCCCACGUGCUCCUGGAGAACACACCAGAUGGGUCCUCUCACUAAAUCCACCUGGGACAGGUGAAAAGCUUCUCCCCUUCUCAGGAACUCUGCUCCUCAGCCAGCUCAGAGUCAGCAGAACCAUCCAUGCAGAGACAAACCUUGUCCCUGAGGGCCACCCGGCUCCCACAGUGACACAGAUCCUGGAUUUGGGAAGGCGCCUCUCCCACACCCCACAGGGCUGCCUGCUCCUGCAGGGGAUGAUGCAGCCCUGUCCUGCAGACUCCCAGAGGGCUGUAUUUUUGAGGAAAAUGAGUAAGAGUUGAUUGUUCUUUUGGGUAAGAAUGAAUCAAAGAAGUUUUAAAUAGUAAACCUGUCCUUUCCUAUAGUUAUUUCCCUCUUUAUUCCCCCUCUUGGCUGCUGGGAGGUUUGUAAACAUUUAU